rnacentral:rRNA from 1 species
CUACGGGUUGCACCAGUGAGGAAUAUUGCACAAUGGGGGGAACCCUGAUGCAGCAACGCCGCGUGGAGGAUGACGCAUUUCGGUGUGUAAACUCCUUUUAUAUGUCAAGAAAAUGACGGUAGCAUAUGAAUAAGCACCGGCUAACUCCGUGCCAGCAGCCGCGGUAAUACGGAGGGUGCAAGCGUUCCUCGGAAUCACUGGGCGUAAAGGACGCGUAGGCGGGUUGGAAAGUCAGGUGUGAAAUCCUACAGCUUAACUGUAGAACUGCACUUGAAACUUCUAAUCUAGAGUAUGGGAGGGGGAGAUGGAAUUAGUGGUGUAGGGGUAAAAUCCGUAGAUAUCACUAGGAAUACCUAAAGCGAAGGCAAUCUCCUGGAACAUUACUGACGCUAAGGCGUGAAAGCGUGGGGAGCAAACAGGAUUAGAUACCCCAGUAGUC